UCAACAACACAUUAAAGUUGGGGUGCAGUGUCCCAGGUUCACUCAACCCUUCCCGUUUUCUUGUCUGUGUGUGUCUACUUUGCUCUGUUCCCUGGUGGCAGCGGCGGUGGCAAUGUUGGUGCAUGGGCCUCCUAGGACAAGGGGAAAGUGAGUAUGCCCUUUUCUUGCUUCCUGCCAGGCAUCUGCAGCCUGGCGCAAGCUCUGGCCAGGUCUUCAAGCAAGGUACCUGGAGAUGUUCUUUUCCAAUUUCUGGAUUGGUAACUUGAGGCAAAUUCUGGGCACUAGAGUCAGGACUAAGAUGAGACUUGAAUCAGGGGAGUCUGGGGUCCUGAGAGGCAGAGGCCUGAAACCAUCUAGAGCAUGUGGGGACCUGGGUGUGUGUUCAGGCCAGUUGCCUUUCUCUGUGCUUCAAUGUUCCAGGUACCCUUGGAGGGACUGAGAUCCUAGGGAUUGCUGGAGCCUGGCUGCAUGGCCUGGCCACCCUGAUGCGCUUGCAUUCUCCGUGACAGGACAGCAAGGCUGAGGAGAAUGGCUCCCACAGCUUCAUGCACUCCAUGGACCCACAGCUGGAGCGGCAAAUGGAAACCACCCAGAACCUGGUGGACUCCUACAUGGCCAUUGUCAACAAGACCGUGUGGAACCUCAUGGUUGGUGCGAAGCCCAAGACCAUCAUGCACAUCAUGAUCUACAAUGUGCAUGCACCGCCUCAUGGGGACCAAGGAGUUCAUCUUCUCAGAGCUGCUGUCCAACCUGUACUCGCGUGGGAACAAGGAGACACUCCUGGAGGAGUCGGCAGAGCAGGCACAGCGGCGCGACGAGAUGCUGCUUCUCAGAGCUGCUGUCCAACCUGCACUCGCGUGGGAACGAGAAGACACUCGUGGAGGCGUCGGCAGAGCAGGCAGACCAAGGAGUUCAUCUUCUCAGAGCUGCUGUCCAAACUGCACUUGCGUGGGAACGAGAAGACACUCAUGGAGGAGUCGGCAGAGCAGGCACAGCGGUGCGACGAGAUGCUGCUUCUCAGAGCUGCUGUCCAACCUGCACUCGCGUGGGAACAAGAAGACACUCGUGGAGGCGUCGGCAGAGCAGGCAGACCAAGGAGUUCAUCUUCUCAGAGCUGCUGUCCAACCUGUACUCGCGUGGGAACGAGAAGACACUCGUGGAGGCGUCGGCAGAGCAGGCAGACCAAGGAGUUCAUCUUCUCAGAGCUGCUGUCCAACCUGCACUCGCGUGGGAACGAGAAGACACUCGUGGAGGCGUCGGCAGAGCAGGCAGACCAAGGAGUUCAUCUUCUCAGAGCUUCUGUCCAACCUGUACUCGCGUGGGAACGAGAAGACACUCGUGGAGGCGUCGGCAGAGCAGGCAGACCAAGGAGUUCAUCUUCUCAGAGCUGCUGUCCAACCUGUACUCGCGUGGGAACGAGAAGACACUCGUGGAGGCGUCGGCAGAGCAGGCAGACCAAGGAGUUCAUCUUCUCAGAGCUGCUGUCCAACCUGCACUCGCGUGGGAACGAGAAGACACUCGUGGAGGCGUCGGCAGAGCAGGCAGACCAAGGAGUUCAUCUUCUCAGAGCUGCUGUCCAACCUGCACUCGCGUGGGAACGAGAAGACACUCAUGGAGGAGUCGGCCGAGCAGGCACAGCGGCGUGACGAGACUCGCGUGGGAAGAAGAAGACACUCCUGGAGGAGUCGGCAGAGCAGGCAGACCAAGGAGUUCAUCUUCUCGGAGCUGCUGUCCAACCUGUACUCGCGUCGGAACCUGCAGACACUUGUGGAGGAGUCGGCAGAGCAGGCACAGCGGUGCGACGAGAUGCUGCUUCUCAGAGCUGCUGUCCAACCUGCACUGGCGUGGGAACGAGAAGACACUCGUGGAGGCGUCGGCAGAGCAGGCAGACCAAGGAGUUCAUCUUCUCAGAGCUGCUGUCCAACCUGCACUCGCGUGGGAACGAGAAGACACUCAUGGAGGAGUCGGCCGAGCAGGCACAGCGGCGUGACGAGACUCGCGUGGGAAGAAGAAGACACUCCUGGAGGAGUCGGCAGAGCAGGCAGACCAAGGAGUUCAUCUUCUCGGAGCUGCUGUCCAACCUGUACUCGCGUCGGAACCUGCAGACACUUGUGGAGGAGUCGGCAGAGCAGGCACAGCGGUGCGACAAGAUGCUGCUUCUCAGAGCUGCUGUCCAACCUGCACUGGCGUGGGAACGAGAAGACACUCGUGGAGGCGUCGGCAGAGCAGGCAGACCAAGGAGUUCAUCUUCUCAGAGCUGCCGUCCAACCUGUCCUCGCGUGGGAACGAGAAGACACUCGUGGAGGCGUCGGCAGAGCAGGCAGACCAAGGAGUUCAUCUUCUCAGAGCUGCUGUCCAACCUGCACUCGCGUGGGAACGAGAAGACACUCGUGGAGGCGUCGGCAGAGCAGGCAGACCAAGGAGUUCAUCUUCUCAGAGCUGCUGUCCAAACUGCACUCGCGUGGGAACGAGAAGACACUCAUGGAGGAGUCGGCAGAGCAGGCACAGCGGUGUGACGAGACUCGCGUGGGAAGAAGAAGACACUCCUGGAGGAGUCGGCAGAGCAGGCAGACCAAGGAGUUCAUCUUCUCGGAGCUGCUGUCCAACCUGUACUCGCGUCGGAACCUGCAGACACUUGUGGAGGAGUCGGCAGAGCAGGCACAGCGGUGCGACGAGAUGCUGCUUCUCAGAGCUGCUGUCCAACCUGCACUCGCUUGGGAACAAGAAGACACUCGUGGAGGCGUCGGCAGAGCAGGCAGACCAAGGAGUUCAUCUUCUCAGAGCUGCUGUCCAACCUGUACUCGCGUGGGAACGAGAAGACACUCGUGGAGGCGUCGGCAGAGCAGGCAGACCAAGGAGUUCAUCUUCUCAGACCUGCUGUCCAACCUGCACUCGCGUGGGAACGAGAAGACACUCAUGGAGGAGUCGGCCGAGCAGGCACAGCGGCGUGACGAGACUCGCAUGGGAAGAAGAAGACACUCCUGGAGGAGUCGGCAGAGCAGGCAGAUCAAGGAGUUCAUCUUCUCGGAGCUGCUGUCCAACCUGUACUCGCGUCGGAACCUGCAGACACUUGUGGAGGAGUCGGCAGAGCAGGCACAGCGGUGCGACGAGAUGCUGCUUCUCAGAGAUGCUGUCCAACCUGCACUGGCUUGGGAACGAGAAGACACUCGUGGAGGCGUCGGCAGAGCAGGCAGACCAAGGAGUUCAUCUUCUCAGAGCUGCUGUCCAACCUGUACUCGCGUGGGAACGAGCAGACACUCGUGGAGGCGUUGGCAGAGCAGGCAGACCAAGGAGUUCAUCUUCUCAGAGCUGCUGUCCAACCUGCACUCGCGUGGGAACGAGAAGACACUCGUGGAGGCGUCGGCAGAGCAGGCAGACCAAGGAGUUCAUCUUCUCAGAGCUGCUGUCCAAACUGCACUCGCGUGGGAACGAGAAGACACUCAUGGAGGAGUCGGCAGAGCAGGCACAGAGGUGUGACGAGACUCGCGUGGGAAGAAGAAGACACUCCUGGAGGAGUCGGCAGAGCAGGCAGACCAAGAAGUUCAUCUUCUCGGAGCUGCUGUCCAACCUGUACUCGCGUCGGAACCUGCAGACACUCGUGGAGGCGUCGGCAGAGCAGGCACAGCGGUGCGACGAGAUGCUGCUUCUCAGAGCUGCUGUCCAACCUGCACUGGCGUGGGAACGAGAAGACACUCGUGGAGGCGUCGGCAGAGCAGGCAGACCAAGGAGUUCAUCUUCUCAGAGCUGCUGUCCAACCUGUACUCGCGUGGGAACGAGCAGACACUCGUGGAGGCGUUGGCAGAGCAGGCAGACCAAGGAGUUCAUCUUCUCAGAGCUGCUGUCCAACCUGCACUCGCGUGGGAACGAGAAGACACUCGUGGAGGCGUCGGCAGAGCAGGCAGACCAAGGAGUUCAUCUUCUCAGAGCUGCUGUCCAAACUGCACUCGCGUGGGAACGAGAAGACACUCAUGGAGGAGUCGGCAGAGCAGGCACAGAGGUGUGACGAGACUCGCGUGGGAAGAAGAAGACACUCCUGGAGGAGUCGGCAGAGCAGGCAGACCAAGGAGUUCAUCUUCUCGGAGCUGCUGUCCAACCUGUACUCGCGUCGGAACCUGCAGACACUCGUGGAGGCGUCGGCAGAGCAGGCAGACCAAGGAGUUCAUCUCAGAGCUGCUGUCCAACCUGCACUCGCGUGGGAACGAGAAGACACUCGUGGAGGCGUCGGCAGAGCAGGCAGACCAAGGAGUUCAUCUUCUCAGAGCUGCUGUCCAACCUGCACUCGCGUGGGAACGAGAAGACACUCAUGGAGGAGUCGGCCGAGCAGGCACAGCGGCGUGACGAGACUCGCGUGGGAAGAAGAAGACACUCCUGGAGGAGUCGGCAGAGCAGGCAGACCAAGGAGUUCAUCUUCUCGGAGCUGCUGUCCAACCUGUACUCGCGUCGGAACCUGCAGACACUUGUGGAGGAGUCGGCAGAGCAGGCACAGCGGUGCGACGAGAUGCUGCUUCUCAGAGCUGCUGUCCAACCUGCACUGGCGUGGGAACGAGAAGACACUCGUGGAGGCGUCGGCAGAGCAGGCAGACCAAGGAGUUCAUCUUCUCAGAGCUGCUGUCCAACCUGUACUCACGUGGGAACGAGCAGACACUCGUGGAGGCGUCGGCAGAGCAGGCAGACCAAGGAGUUCAUCUUCUCAGAGCUGCUGUCCAACCUGCACUCGCGUGGGAAUGAGAAGACACUCGUGAAGGCGUCGGCAGAGAAGGCAGACCAAGGAGUUCAUCUUCUCAGAGCUGCUGUCCAACCUGCACUCGCGUGGGAACGAGAAGACACUCGUGGAGGCGUCGGCAGAGCAGGCAGACCAAGGAGUUCAUCUUCUCAGAGCUGCUGUCCAAACUGCACUCGCGUGGGAACGAGAAGACACUCAUGGAGGAGUCGGCAGAGCAGGCACAGAGGUGUGACGAGACUCGCGUGGGAAGAAGAAGACACUCCUGGAGGAGUCGGCAGAGCAGGCAGACCAAGGAGUUCAUCUUCUCGGAGCUGCUGUCCAACCUGUACUCGCGUCGGAACCUGCAGACACUUGUGGAGGAGUCGGCAGAGCAGGCACAGCGGUGCGACGAGAUGCUGCUUCUCAGAGCUGCUGUCCAACCUGCACUGGCGUGGCAACGAGAAGACACUCGUGGAGGCGUCGGCAGAGCAGGCAGACCAAGGAGUUCAUCUUCUCAGAGCUGCUGUCCAACCUGUACUCGCGUGGGAACGAGCAGACACUCGUGGAGGCGUUGGCAGAGCAGGCAGACCAAGGAGUUCAUCUUCUCAGAGCUGCUGUCCAACCUGCACUCGCGUGGGAACGAGAAGACACUCGUGGAGGCGUCGGCAGAGCAGGCAGACCAAGGAGUUCAUCUUCUCAGAGCUGCUGUCCAAACUGCACUCGCGUGGGAACGAGAAGACACUCAUGGAGGAGUCGGCAGAGCAGGCACAGAGGUGUGACGAGACUCGCGUGGGAAGAAGAAGACACUCCUGGAGGAGUCGGCAGAGCAGGCAGACCAAGGAGUUCAUCUUCUCGGAGCUGCUGUCCAACCUGUACUCGCGUCGGAACCUGCAGACACUCGUGGAGGCGUCGGCAGAGCAGGCAGACCAAGGAGUUCAUCUUCUCAGAGCUUCUGUCCAACCUGUACUCGCGUGGGAACGAGAAGACACUCGUGGAGGCGUCGGCAGAGCAGGCAGACCAAGGAGUUCAUCUUCUCAGAGCUGCUGUCCAACCUGUACUCGCGUGGGAACGAGAAGACACUCGUGGAGGCGUCGGCAGAGCAGGCAGACCAAGGAGUUCAUCUUCUCAGAGCUGCUGUCCAACCUGCACUCGCGUGGGAACGAGAAGACACUCAUGGAGGAGUCGGCCGAGCAGGCACAGCGGCGUGACGAGACUCGCAUGGGAAGAAGAAGACACUCCUGGAGGAGUCGGCAGAGCAGGCAGAUCAAGGAGUUCAUCUUCUCGGAGCUGCUGUCCAACCUAUACUCGCGUCGGAACCUGCAGACACUUGUGGAGGAGUCGGCAGAGCAGGCACAGCGGUGCGACGAGAUGCUGCUUCUCAGAGAUGCUGUCCAACCUGCACUGGCGUGGGAACGAGAAGACACUCGUGGAGGCGUCGGCAGAGCAGGCAGACCAAGGAGUUCAUCUUCUCAGAGCUGCUGUCCAACCUGCACUCGCGUGGGAACGAGAAGACACUCGUGGAGGCGUCGGCAGAGCAGGCAGACCAAGGAGUUCAUCUUCUCAGAGCUGCUGUCCAACCUGCACUCGCGUGGGAACGAGAAGACACUCAUGGAGGAGUCGGCCGAGCAGGCACAGCGGCGUGACGAGACUCGCGUGGGAAGAAGAAGACACUCCUGGAGGAGUCGGCAGAGCAGGCAGACCAAGGAGUUCAUCUUCUCGGAGCUGCUGUCCAACCUGUACUCGCGUCGGAACCUGCAGACACUUGUGGAGGAGUCGGCAGAGCAGGCACAGCGGUGCGACGAGAUGCUGCUUCUCAGAGCUGCUGUCCAACCUGCACUCGCGUGGGAACAAGAAGACACUCGUGGAGGCGUUGGCAGAGCAGGCAGACCAAAGGAGUUCAUCUUCUCAGAGCUGCUGUCCAACCUGUACUCGCGUGGGAACGAGAAGACACUCGUGGAGGCGUCGGCAGAGCAGGCAGACCAAGGAGUUCAUCUUCUCAGAGCUGCUGUCCAACCUGCACUCGCGUGGGAACGAGAAGACACUCAUGUAGGAGUCGGCAGAGCAGGCACAGCGGCGUGACGAGACUCGCGUGGGAAGAAGAAGACAUUCCUGGAGGAGUCGGCAGAGCAGGCAGAGCAAGGAGUUCAUCUUCUCGGAGCUGCUGUCCAACCUGUACUCGCGUCGGAACCUGCAGACACUUGUGGAGGAGUCGGCAGAGCAGGCACAGCGGUGCGACGAGAUGCUGCUUCUCAGAGCUGCUGUCCAACCUGCACUCGCGUGGGAACCAGAAGACACUCGUGGAGGCGUCGGCAGAGCAGGCAGACCAAGGAGUUCAUCUUCUCAGAGCUGCUGUCCAACCUGUACUCGCGUGGGAACGAGAAGACACUCGUGGAGGCGUCGGCAGAGCAGGCAGACCAAGGAGUUCAUCUUCUCAGAGCUGCUGUCCAACCUGCACUCGCGUGGGAACGAGAAGACACUCAUGGAGGAGUCGGCCGAGCAGGCACAGCGGCGUGACGAGACUCGCGUGGGAAGAAGAAGACACUCCUGGAGGAGUCGGCAGAGCAGGCAGACCAAGGAGUUCAUCUUCUCGGAGCUGCUGUCCAACCUGUACUCGCGUCGGAACCUGCAGACACUUGUGGAGGAGUCGGCAGAGCAGGCACAGCGGUGCGACGAGAUGCUGCUUCUCAGAGCUGCUGUCCAACCUGCACUGGCGUGGGAACGAGAAGACACUCGUGGAGGCAUCGGCAGAGCAGGCAGACCAAGGAGUUCAUCUUCUCAGAGCUGCUGUCCAACCUGUACUCGCGUGGGAACGAGCAGACACUCGUGGAGGCGUUGGCAGAGCAGGCAGACCAAGGAAUUCAUCUUCUCAGAGCUGCUGUCCAACCUGCACUCGCGUGGGAAUGAGAAGACACUCGUGAAGGCGUCGGCAGAGAAGGCAGACCAAGGAGUUCAUCUUCUCAGAGCUGCUGUCCAACCUGCACUCGCGUGGGAACGAGAAGACACUCGUGGAGGCGUCGGCAGAGCAGGCAGACCAAGGAGUUCAUCUUCUCAGAGCUGCUGUCCAAACUGCACUCGCGUGGGAACGAGAAGACACUCAUGGAGGAGUCGGCAGAGCAGGCACAGAGGUGUGACGAGACUCGCGUGGGAAGAAGAAGACACUCCUGGAGGAGUCGGCAGAGCAGGCAGACCAAGGAGUUCAUCUUCUCGGAGCUGCUGUCCAACCUGUACUCGCGUCGGAACCUGCAGACACUCGUGGAGGCGUCGGCAGAGCAGGCAGACCAAGGAGUUCAUCUUCUCAGAGCUGCUGUCCAACCUGUACUCGCGUGGGAACGAGAAGACACUCGUGGAGGCGUCGGCAGAGCAGGCAGACCAAGGAGUUCAUCUUCUCAGAGCUGCUGUCCAACCUGCACUCGCGUGGGAACGAGAAGACACUCAUGGAGGAGUCGGCAGAGCAGGCACAGCGGUGUGACGAGACUCGCGUGGGAAGAAGAAGACACUCCUGGACUAGUCGGUAGAGCAGGCAGACCAAGGAGUUCAUCUUCUCGGAGCUGCUGUCCAACCUGUACUCGCGUCGGAACCUGCAGACACUUGUGGAGGAGUCGGCAGAGCAGGCACAGCGGUGCGACGAGAUGCUGCUUCUCAGAGCUGCUGUCCAACCUGCACUCGCGUGGGAACGAGAAGACACUCGUGGAGGCGUUGGCAGAGCAGGCAGACCAAGGAGUUCAUCUUCUCAGAGCUGCUGUCCAACCUGUACUCGCGUGGGAACGAGAAGACACUCGUGGAGGCGUCGGCAGAGCAGGCAGACCAAGGAGUUCAUCUUCUCAGAGCUGCUGUCCAACCUGCACUCGCGUGGGAACGAGAAGACACUCAUGGAGGAGUCGGCCGAGCAGGCACAGCGGCGUGACGAGACUCGCGUGGGAAGAAGAAGACACUCCUGGAGGAGUCGGCAGAGCAGGCAGACCAAGGAGUUCAUCUUCUCGGAGCUGCUGUCCAACCUGUACUCGCAUCGGAACCUGCAGACACUUGUGGAGGAGUCGGCAGAGCAGGCACAGCGGUGCGACGAGAUGCUGCUUCUCAGAGCUGCUGUCCAACCUGCACUGGCGUGGGAACGAGAAGACACUCGUGGAGGCGUCGGCAGAGCAGGCAGACCAAGGAGUUCAUCUUCUCAGAGCUGCUGUCCAACCUGUACUCACGUGGGAACGAGCAGACACUCGUGGAGGCGUCGGCAGAGCAGGCAGACCAAGGAGUUCAUCUUCUCAGAGCUGCUGUCCAACCUGCACUCGCGUGGGAAUGAGAAGACACUCGUGAAGGCGUCGGCAGAGAAGGCAGACCAAGGAGUUCAUCUUCUCAGAGCUGCUGUCCAACCUGCACUCGCGUGGGAACGAGAAGACACUCGUGGAGGCGUCGGCAGAGCAGGCAGACCAAGGAGUUCAUCUUCUCAGAGCUGCUGUCCAAACUGCACUCGCGUGGGAACGAGAAGACACUCAUGGAGGAGUCGGCAGAGCAGGCACAGAGGUGUGACGAGACUCGCGUGGGAAGAAGAAGACACUCCUGGAGGAGUCGGCAGAGCAGGCAGACCAAGGAGUUCAUCUUCUCGGAGCUGCUGUCCAACCUGUACUCGCGUCGGAACCUGCAGACACUUGUGGAGGAGUCGGCAGAGCAGGCACAGCGGUGCGACGAGAUGCUGCUUCUCAGAGCUGCUGUCCAACCUGCACUCGCGUGGGAACAAGAAGACACUCGUGGAGGCGUUGGCAGAGCAGGCAGACCAAGGAGUUCAUCUUCUCAGAGCUGCUGUCCAACCUGUACUCGCGUGGGAACGAGAAGACACUCGUGGAGGCGUCGGCAGAGCAGGCAGACCAAGGAGUUCAUCUUCUCAGAGCUGCUGUCCAACCUGCACUCGCGUGGGAACGAGAAGACACUCAUGUAGGAGUCGGCAGAGCAGGCACAGCGGCGUGACGAGACUCGCGUGGGAAGAAGAAGACAUUCCUGGAGGAGUCGGCAGAGCAGGCAGAGCAAGGAGUUCAUCUUCUCGGAGCUGCUGUCCAACCUGUACUCGCGUCGGAACCUGCAGACACUUGUGGAGGAGUCGGCAGAGCAGGCACAGCGGUGCGACGAGAUGCUGCUUCUCAGAGCUGCUGUCCAACCUGCACUCGCGUGGGAACCAGAAGACACUCGUGGAGGCGUCGGCAGAGCAGGCAGACCAAGGAGUUCAUCUUCUCAGAGCUGCUGUCCAACCUGUACUCGCGUGGGAACGAGAAGACACUCGUGGAGGCGUCGGCAGAGCAGGCAGACCAAGGAGUUCAUCUUCUCAGAGCUGCUGUCCAACCUGCACUCGCGUGGGAACGAGAAGACACUCAUGGAGGAGUCGGCCGAGCAGGCACAGCGGCGUGACGAGACUCGCGUGGGAAGAAGAAGACACUCCUGGAGGAGUCGGCAGAGCAGGCAGACCAAGGAGUUCAUCUUCUCGGAGCUGCUGUCCAACCUGUACUCGCGUCGGAACCUGCAGACACUUGUGGAGGAGUCGGCAGAGCAGGCACAGCGGUGCGACGAGAUGCUGCUUCUCAGAGCUGCUGUCCAACCUGCACUGGCGUGGGAACGAGAAGACACUCGUGGAGGCAUCGGCAGAGCAGGCAGACCAAGGAGUUCAUCUUCUCAGAGCUGCUGUCCAACCUGUACUCGCGUGGGAACGAGCAGACACUCGUGGAGGCGUUGGCAGAGCAGGCAGACCAAGGAAUUCAUCUUCUCAGAGCUGCUGUCCAACCUGCACUCGCGUGGGAAUGAGAAGACACUCGUGAAGGCGUCGGCAGAGAAGGCAGACCAAGGAGUUCAUCUUCUCAGAGCUGCUGUCCAACCUGCACUCGCGUGGGAACGAGAAGACACUCGUGGAGGCGUCGGCAGAGCAGGCAGACCAAGGAGUUCAUCUUCUCGGAGCUGCUGUCCAAACUGUACUCGCGUCGGAACCUGCAGACACUUGUGGAGGAGUCGGCAGAGCAGGCACAGCGGUGCGACGAGAUGCUGCUUCUCAGAGCUGCUGUCCAACCUGCACUCGCGUGGGAACGAGAAGACACUCGUGGAGGCGUUGGCAGAGCAGGCAGACCAAGGAGUUCAUCUUCUCAGAGCUGCUGUCCAACCUGUACUCGCGUGGGAACGAGAAGACACUCGUGGAGGCGUCGGCAGAGCAGGCAGACCAAGGAGUUCAUCUUCUCAGAGCUGCUGUCCAACCUGCACUCGCGUGGGAACGAGAAGACACUCAUGGAGGAGUCGGCCGAGCAGGCACAGCGGCGUGACGAGACUCGCGUGGGAAGAAGAAGACACUCCUGGAGGAGUCGGCAGAGCAGGCAGACCAAGGAGUUCAUCUUCUCGGAGCUGCUGUCCAACCUGUACUCGCAUCGGAACCUGCAGACACUUGUGGAGGAGUCGGCAGAGCAGGCACACCGGUGCGACGAGAUGCUGCUUCUCAGAGCUGCUGUCCAACCUGCACUAGCGUGGGAACGAGAAGACACUCGUGGAGGCGUCGGCAGAGCAGGCAGACCAAGGAGUUCAUCUUCUCAGAGCUGCUGUCCAACCUGCACUCGCGUGGGAACGAGAAGACACUCGUGGAGGCGUCGGCAGAGCAGGCAGACCAAGGAGUUCAUCUUCUCAGAGCUGCUGUCCAACCUGCACUCGCGUGGGAACGAGAAGACACUCGUGGAGGCGUCAGCAGAGAAGGCAGACCAAGGAGUUCAUCUUCUCAGAGCUGCUGCCCAACCUGCACUCGCGUGGGAACAAGAAGACACUCGUGGAGGCGUCGGCAGAGCAGGCAGACCAAGGAGUUCAUCUUCUCAGAGCUGCUGUCCAACCUGCACUUGCGUGGGAACGAGAAGACACUCAUGGAGGAGUCGGCAGAGCAGGCACAGCGGUGUGACGAGACUCGCGUGGGAAGAAGAAGACACUCCUGGAGGAGUCGGCAGAGCAGGCAGACCAAGGAGUUCAUCUUCUCGGAGCUGCUGUCCAACCUGUACUCGCGUCGGAACCUGCAGACACUUGUGGAGGAGUCGGCAGAGCAGGCACAGCGGUGCGACGAGAUGCUGCUUCUCAGAGCUGCUGUCCAACCAGCCCUCGCGUGGGAACCAGAAGACACUCGUGGAGGCGUCGGCAGAGCAGGCAGACCAAGGAGUUCAUCUUCUCAGAGCUGCUGUCCAACCUGUACUCGCGUGGGAACGAGAAGACACUCGUGGAGGCGUCGGCAGAGUAGGCAGACCAAGGAGUUCAUCUUCUCAGAGCUGCUGUCCAACCUGCACUCGCGUGGGAACGAGAAGACACUCAUGGAGGAGUCGGCCGAGCAGGCACAGCGGCGUGACGAGACUCGCGUGGGAAGAAGAAGACACUCCUGGAGGAGUCGGCAGAGCAGGCAGACCAAGGAGUUCAUCUUCUCGGAGCUGCUGUCCAACCUGUACUCGCGUCGGAACCUGCAGACACUUGUGGAGGAGUCGGCAGAGCAGGCACAGCGGUGCGACGAGAUGCUGCUUCUCAGAGCUGCUGUCCAACCUGCACUGGCGUGGGAACGAGAAGACACUCGUGGAGGCGUCGGCAGAGCAGGCAGACCAAGGAGUUCAUCUUCUCAGAGCUGCUGUCCAACCUGUACUCGCGUGGGAACGAGAAGACACUCGUGGAGGCGUCGGCAGAGCAGGCAGACCAAGGAGUUCAUCUUCUCAGAGCUGCUGUCCAACCUGCACUCGCGUGGGAACGAGAAGACACUCGUGGAGGCGUCGGCAGAGCAGGCAGACCAAGGAGUUCAUCUUCUCAGAGCUGCUGUCCAAACUGCACUUGCGUGGGAACGAGAAGACACUCAUGGAGGAGUCGGCAGAGCAGGCACAGCGGUGUGACGAGACUCGCGUGGGAAGAAGAAGACACUCCUGGAGGAGUCGGCAGAGCAGGCAGACGAAGGAGUUCAUCUUCUCGGAGCUGCUGUCCAACCUGUACUCGCGUCGGAACCUGCAGACACUUGUGGAGGGGUCGGCAGAGCAGGCACAGCGGUGCGACGAGAUGCUGCUUCUCAGAGCUGCUGUCCAACCUGCACUCGCGUGGGAACGAGAAGACACUCGUGGAGGAGUCGGCAGAGCAGGCACAGCGGCGUGACGAGACUCGCGUGGGAAGAAGAAGACACUCCUGGAGGAGUCGGCAGAGUAGGCAGAACAAGGAGUUCAUCUUCUCGGAGCUGCUGUCCAACCUGUACUCGCGUGGGAACGAGAAGACACUCCUGGAGGAGUCGGCAGAGCAGGCAGACCAAGGAGUUCAUCUUCUCAGAGCUGCUGUCCAACCUGCACUCGCGUAGGGACAAGAAGACACUCCUGGAGGAGUCGGCGGAGCAGGCAUAGCGGCGCGACGAGAUGCUGUGCAUGCACCACGUGCUGAAAGAGGCUCUCAGCAUCAUCGGCGACAUCAACAUGAACACCAUCAGCACAGCUACGGGGGCCCGUGGACGACUCCUAGUUGCAGAAAUUCAAAUUGAUUCAGUUGAACUAGCAUUUUAAAAUUCUAUGUUUCUGAUGAACUCUAACCUUCCUUCUAAGCAAAUCAAAAGCUGCAUUGUACUGAAUGAGGAAGAGCACAAAUACUUGGCUCAAUGAGGUAUCGCAAAAGACUGUAUGCACUUUGAAGAAAGACAACCAAGCCCAGCGAAAGAAUGGCAUACGGGAGUUGCUGCACAAGCCUGGGUGCUCCACGCUGUCAGUGAGGCUCACCUCACAAAGAUCUUUGGAGAGAAGGAGGUGGGGAUCCGAGUGCAGUGAGAGCCUCCCCUGCCCCUGCCUGCCCACCCUGCCUGAGGACUCUACUCACCACCAUGCUUGUCAGCACCCACAAGCUCCUGGGGGGCUGGGGCUCCUGGACCAGGCUCAUCAGCAAGCUUCAGGGCAGUGGCCGGGAAAUUUGCUGUGUCCCUCGUUGUAGUCACCACAAGCCACAACAUCGUCUCCAGCAGCUCCAGCAGCUUCACCUGGAAGGGAGGGGUGCUCAGCUGUUAUGCAUCUACCGGCGCCCACCCUCACGCCCACCCCCACCCCUGCAGAGAUGUUGCACACCCUACCUUCAUCUCUUCCUUGUCCUGGACCAGCCUGAUGAUGUCCUCCUCCAGUUGCCGCAUCUUUGGUACUGCCCCCUGGCUCUGUUCAAAGGUGAUGAACUUUCCUGUGGGAGGACAGGACUCUGACGCUGAGGCCCCUCCAACAGCCCUGCAGCUCCCGCUGCCGUGCCCUGGCCUCCCGCUCACUGAUGGCUUCUGUCUUUCCAGUACUGGAUGAAUCAAAGUUCUAGCUUCUCCACUCGCUCCCUCAGGUCCGCCUUCUCCUCCAGGAGGUCCAUAAGGCCACUCUGGAGCCAAAAUAAUGGGUUCACAUCUCGGCAGUGACCUGCCCCACCCCUGCCCUUCUUGGUCCAUGCCAGGACUCACUCACCUCCAGCUUCUCCAUGACCUCCUGCAUAGCCUGGUGGGUCUCCCCACUCACAGAGUCACCCCCAGUCACUGGGGCUGGGACCGCUGCCUCUGGCUUCUUCUGGACUGAGGCCACCAGGUGAGCCAUGCGCUGGCAGCACACCCUCUGCUCUUUCACCUGCUCUCGUAACCGUGCCUGCUCCUCCUGGGCAUUGGCUCCAGCGGAGUUGAAAAAUGCAACCUGAGGGCAAGAGGUGAGCAUUAUUGUAGAGGCAUACACAGAACAAACAGGGCAGAGAGGUGGAGUGCAGCCCCUUCCCUUGGGGUCUCAGAGAGUGCAUCUGUUGGUCACAGGUGAAAUGGUGUCUGACCACUGGCUCCCGGAAAGGGUGAGUGUCCAGAGAAAUCAGAAGGCAGGGAAACCAAGAGCAUAAAGGGGUCUUGGAGGGACCACAGAGGGAGGUGGCAAAAUGGGUACAGGGGGAGUCAGGCUCACCGUGGCCUCCCAGCUCUCCAGGUGCUCCGGGUUGCUCGGCAUGGGCCGAGGUGCCUCCUCCUCCUCACUGUCCAGAUGUCCUCCUCCAUCUCCUGUGGGGGGUGGCCAGAAGGGUCCUCAGACAACCCAACAAGGGGGGUACUGUGGGCCCACCGCUGCCUCCACCCUCACUGUGUAACCCUGAGCCAGCCACUACCCAGAGAGAAAUGAGCUGCUGUUCUUUAUUUUUACUUUUAAGAACCAAGAUCAGGCAUAAUCCCACUACGGUCAGUGCGGGAGUUCUGACCUGCUCCCUUUCUGACCUGGGCCAGUUCAGCCAUCCUUAGGCAACUUGGUGGCCCCCUGCUCCCAGGAGGUCACCAUAUUGAUGCUGAACUUAGUGCGGGCACCCGGUCGGCAUAAGGACCAGCUGUUCUAAAGGUCUCUUCCAUCU
ensembl:lncRNA novel transcript